rnacentral:rRNA from 1 species
GUAGGUGGCAAGCGUUGCCCGGAAUUAUUGGGCGUAAAGCGCGCGCAGGCGGUUCUUUAAGUCUGAUGUGAAAGCCCACGGCUCAACCGUGGAGGGUAAUUGGAAACUGGAGAACUUGAGUACAGAAGAGGAAAGCGGAAUUCCACGUGUAGCGGUGAAAUGCGUAGAGAUGUGGAGGAACACCAGUGGCGAAGGCGGCUUUCUGGUCUGUAACUGACGCUGAGGCGCGAAAGCGUGGGGAGCAAACAGGGAUUAGAUACCCUGGUAGUCCACGCCGUAAACGAUGAGUGCUAAGUGUUAGGGGGUUUCCGCCCCCUUAGUGCUGCAGCUAACGCAUUAAGCACUCCGCCUGGGGAUACGGCCGCAAGGCUG